UACGAAGGGGGCUAGCGUUGCUCGGAAUCACUGGGCGUAAAGGGUGCGUAGGCGGGUCUUUAAGUCAGGGGUGAAAUCCUGGAGCUCAACUCCAGAACUGCCUUUGAUACUGGCGACCUUGAGUCCGGGAGAGGUGAGUGGAACUGCGAGUGUAGAGGUGAAAUUCGUAGAUAUUCGCAAGAACACCAGUGGCGAAGGCGGACUCACUGGCCCGGUACUGACGCUGAGGUGCGAAAGCGUGGGGAG
rnacentral:rRNA from 1 species